UCGAAUUAUAGUGUUUUUCCAGUACAAAGUGAUGCCGUAAUGCGAAAACCAUAUCAUUUAGCUGGGUUCCACCGAUGGCGUAAAACAAAACAACCUACGGAAUCUAAUCAGUAUCACUUUGGUAAGUAUUUUUUUCAAUCUGAUUUUACUAACUGUUGUUUUUUUUAGGUUUUUCAACUAUAAUCCAUUUUUUCCCUUUUUACGAAGAAGAUGCCAUUUUAACAUGGAUUUUUACCACAAAGUGACUAGCUUGGUAAAAUACCAUCGACGUGCUUCACCAGAAAAUAAAACAUAUGCCUGGUCAAGGAAACAAUCGUCUGGAAUCCUUUCGGCAGCCAUUAAUUCCUUUACCUGGAAGACGAAGUCUGAGACCUCCAUCCCAUGAGAAUCUCCACUAAACUGGAUUCCCCAUCUAUCUAGGCGAAAAUGACGAAAUUUGUGCUCGCUUCUUCGAGACUUUUUCUCCUUAUCGGAAAGGCUAUCCAGAGAAGACGUUGAGGAUGAGCUUGAUGAGAGCAAACUGCUCAAAGAAUCUAACGAAGAGCUCUCUGAAUCCGAUGAUGAACUCUGAGGAAACCAAUAUUAAACCGAAUGUAGUCUACAAAUCAAUAGAAAUAAUAAUAAAAGAAAAAUAUAUGUCC